GACGAACGCUGGCGGCGUGCCUAAUACAUGCAAGUUGAGCGCUGAAGGUUGGUCCUUGUACCAACUGGAUGAGCAGCGAACGGGUGAGUAACGCGUGGGGAAUCUGCCUUUGAGCGGGGGACAACAUUUGGAAACGAAUGCUAAUACCGCAUAAAAACUUUAAACACAAGUUUUAAGUUUGAAAGAUGCAAUUGCAUCACUCAAAGAUGAUCCCGCGUUGUAUUAGCUAGUUGGUGAGGUAAAGGCUCACCAAGGCGAUGAUACAUAGUCGACCUGAGAGGGUGAUCGGCCACAUUGGGACUGAGACACGGCCCAAACUCCUACGGGAGGCAGCAGUAGGGAAUCUUCGGCAAUGGACGAAAGUCUGACCGAGCAACGCCGCGUGAGUGAAGAAGGUUUUCGGAUCGUAAAACUCUGUUGGUAGAGAAGAACGUUGGUGAGAGUGGAAAGCUCAUCAAGUGACGGUAACUACCCAGAAAGGGACGGCUAACUACGUG
rnacentral:rRNA from 1 species